GGACUCGUAGCUCAGCUGGUUAGAGCGUCGCAUUUACACUGCGAAGGUCUGAGGUUCGAAUCCUCACGAGUCCA
rnacentral:tRNA from 12 species